UGGCUCAGAACGAACGCUGGCGGCAGGCUUAACACAUGCAAGUCGAGCGCCCCGCAAGGGGAGCGGCAGACGGGUGAGUAACGCGUGGGAACGUACCUUUUGCUACGGAAUAACUCAGGGAAACUUGUGCUAAUACCGUAUGUGCCCUUCGGGGGAAAGAUUUAUCGGCAAAGGAUCGGCCCGCGUUGGAUUAGCUAGUUGGUGAGGUAAAGGCUCACCAAGGCGACGAUCCAUAGCUGGUCUGAGAGGAUGAUCAGCCACACUGGGACUGAGACACGGCCCAGACUCCUACGGGAGGCAGCAGUGGGGAAUAUUGGACAAUGGGCGCAAGCCUGAUCCAGCC
rnacentral:rRNA from 2 species